GACGAACGCUGGCGGCGUGCUUAACACAUGCAAGUCGAACGGAAAGGCCCUUUCGGGGGUACUCGAGUGGCGAACGGGUGAGUAACACGUGGGUGAUCUGCCCUGCACUUUGGGAUAAGCCUGGGAAACUGGGUCUAAUACCGGAUAGGACCACGGUCUGCAUGGAUUGUGGUGGAAAGCUUUUGCGGGGUGGGAUGGGCCCGCGGCCUAUCAGCUUGUUGGUGGGGUGAUGGCCUACCAAGGCGACGACGGGUAGCCGGCCUGAGAGGGUGUCCGGCCACACUGGGACUGAGAUACGGCCCAGACUCCUACGGGAGGCAGCAGUGGGGAAUAUUGCACAAUGGGCGCAAGCCUGAUGCAGCGACGCCGCGUGGGGGAUGACGGCCUUCGGGUUGUAAACCUCUUUCAGUACCGGCGAAGCUCCCGGGUUUUCUUGGGGGUGACGGUAGGUACAGAAGAAGCACCGGCCAACUACGUGCCAGCCGCCGCGGUAAAAC
rnacentral:rRNA from 1 species